rnacentral:lncRNA from 1 species
CAUUACAAAGGAUAUGGUCAAAAGUUUACAAAAUGUGAAACUAUCUACUAGUAGUUGCCUAAUUCUCAACCUUGCAGCCAACUCCUCAACUAUUCUAAAACAUAAUGUCUGAAACAUUGACCACGAAAAUCACAUUCUAAUUUUAUAUUAGCAGCCCCAUUCUCGACCUUGGAAUCAACAUUUGAGCCAUGAUCCAUUCAUUUUUGUCAAUCUACAACAAUGAAAGAAAUGAGAUGAGCAACUAACAGUAGAGAAAAGCAGGUCAACAGAUCAGUAGUAAAAUUUAAAGGAGGAGCUCCUUACAAAGGAUGAAGACGACAUCAGUAGCCUCUGUACGCAGAAAAAGAGCCUACAUUUGACAAACACUUUGAUCAUUGUGUUUUCUUAUGAACAAACUUGCUAUAUGUCAAACCUUUAAAAGAACAUACUAAGUAAGAAACAAGUUACCUCUCUUGAAUAAAAUCAUUUACUAACAUACCACACGUCCUUCGUUUCCUAAGAAAAUUUGUUGUGGUCCAGAAAAUACAAGUAGAUGCAAGAUUUCACCAAUUUUGAAACACUUC